rnacentral:rRNA from 1 species
UGCCAGCACCCCGAGUGGUCGGGACGAUUAUUGGGCCUAAAGCAUCCGUAGCCGGUCCUGCAAGUCUUCCGUUAAAUCCAGCUGCUCAACAGAUGGGCUGCGGGGAUACUACAUGGCUAGGAGGCGGGAGAGGCAAGCGGUACUUUAUGGGUAGGGGUAAAAUCCGUUGAUCCAUAGAAGACCACCAGUGGCGAAGGCGGCUUGCCAGAACGCGCUCGAACGGGUGAGGGAGUGAA